UGUCCCUUACCAGCUGCAACAACAGUCACUGCGCAGAGGUGCCAGGGGCUGGGGCAUCCCUGAGCUGACCCAGGUGGACGGACGGUCCUGCUCUAGCCACCCACCCCACGGCCAAAGCUGGACGAGCUUGCUUCAGCCUUAGCCUUCUCUUCAGGGGUCUCACCUGCGUUUCCUUCCUGGGCCAUUCCCCUCAGUGCCCUGGGCCUCAGCUUCCCCGUCUGAAAAGGGAGAAAAUAGACCCUACCUCAUAGAAGGGUUGGGUUGUUUCGCUUUAAAUAGGGUAAUGUGCCCAGCACAAAGAAGUCUUAGUAUUAAUUAUCAGUAUUAGCUUGUGCCCCAGGGCCCUUCUGGGUCUUAAAUUGUUAGCGGAAGACUAGGAAGUCUAAGACUGGGGGCAAUAUUGGGACCUUCUCCUGAUUGGUUGGGGUUUGGCGGGUGGGUCCUAUCCUGGGGUGUUUUGUACCCUGCCACCUUAUUUACCAGUGGGAGCGCAGAAAAAAAGGUGGCUUUCGUUAGAGUAACAGCAGCACACAGACAGACUAAGCCAGAGCUCCCUCCCCUCAGGUCUGGGUGGAACUUCUGAAACCGCGCAGGGGGAAAGGAUGGCGGCUCCGGGGGAGGGCAGGGCACUCCCCUGAACUUCCCCGGGUACCGAGGAUCCAGCGUCCUGUGAAUGCAGAGGACAGGGCUCUCGGGGAAACCUGAAACAGCACUCUGUAGAUCAAUGCAGCUGCGUUUUAAACUGCCACCGUCUUUUCCUGUUCACCUGGAGCUGGAUUGGCAUACUUCCAAGGAGGUAUUGCCUCCUCUUUACAGAAGAGGAAACUGCCAUUUUGAGGACCCAGAGAGCUUAUGCAGGUGCUGGGUUCUGGAUUCGGCACCCGGCCUGACUGCAUGGCCACCCUGCCUUCGGUAGGCUUCAAGCCCAGCACAGAGCCCAGUGCGGGGCUUGAACUCACGACCCUGAGAUCAAGACCUGAGCCGAGAUCGAGAGUCAGACGCUUAGCUGACUGAGCCACCCAGGGGGGCCCCGAUGGCACCUGUUCUUUUUGACAAAACCUGCCACGUGCUUGUUCUCCCCUGCCCCUUUCCCCCAUACCCUAUAAUCUCAAGCUAGGAAACCGUACGUCUGGAUGACAUUCUGAAUCAACAUGAAAGAACAUUUUGUGACCAUAAAGGUCAGGUUAGUUACGUCUCUCAAAACCUUAAAGGAAGUCAUCUUGGAUGCAGGUCAGAAAAAUCUCAGCCAGUUACCACAACCUAGUGUCUACGCAGGUCCCCAGUGUGCCGCUCCAGUACCUUUCCACUAUCCCCAGUAUUGCUCGUAAAUCCAUUCUGGUAUAAAACGAGUAUACUUCUACUGAGCUCUCUUUAUCUAAAACGGCAUUCAAUACCCUUAAUAUUUAUUUGAAUCCUUGCUGUGCAACAGCCUCUGCAGUUUACAUAUAUUGUGGUGUUUAAUCCUCACGACAACCCCACGAGGUGGGUAUUUGUAUCCCUUUUAACAGACGGAACUCUGAGAGGUUACGUCGCUUACCCAGGAUCACACAGCUGAUUAGUGAUGGGGCUAGGAUUUGAACCUUGGUCUGGCCGUCCUCAAAGCCCAUGGGUUUCAACUUCUGCUAUUUAUCCUCCAGAUGGUUAAGGGCAGACAAAAAUGAAAUUCCCCGAUCUUGAUCACUUCCUGAUUUGCAAAGAUCACAGCACUAAACUGGGAGGUCAGCUGGAAAAUGUUUAACAAGUGGGUCUGGGGGGGCGGGGAACAGGAGGAAGCCCCGUGUCGGUUUCUGGGGUGACUCUCUCCAUGACAAGUUCAACGUGAGGUCACCGAACACGGAGUUGUGAAGAAAUGCACCCAAUUGGUUCUUCUGAGCCUACGUAGGCCUGCAUUUCU